rnacentral:rRNA from 1 species
GAUGAACGCUGGCGGCGUGCCUAAUACAUGCAAGUCGAGCGAACAGACGAGGAGCUUGCUCCUCUGACGUUAGCGGCGGACGGGUGAGUAACACGUGGAUAACCUACCUAUAUGACUGGGAUAACUUCGGGAAACCGGAGCUAAUACCGGAUCAUAUAUUGAACCGCAUGGUUCAAUAGUGAAAGACGGUUUUGCUGUCACUUAUAGAUGGAUCCGCGCCGCAUUAGCUAGUUGGUAAGGUAACGGCUUACCAAGGCAACGAUGCGUAGCCGACCUGAGAGGGUGAUCGGCCACACUGGAACUGAGACACGGUCCAGACUCCUACGGGAGGCAGCAGUAGGGAAUCUUCCGCAAUGGGCGAAAGCUUGACGGAGCAACGCCGCGUGAGUGAUGAAGGUCUUCGGAUCGUAAAACUCUGUUAUUAGGGAAGAACAAAUGUGUAAGUAACUAUGCACGUCUUGACGGUACCUAAUCAGAAAGCCACGGCUAACUACGUG